rnacentral:rRNA from 1 species
UACGUAGGGGGCUAGCGUUGUCCGGAAUCAUUGGGCGUAAAGAGCGCGUAGGCGGCCAGACAAGUCCGGUGUGAAAGUCACAGGCUCAACCUGUGAAUGCCGCUGGAAACUGUCUGGCUAGAGUCCGGAAGGGGCGAGUGGAAUUCCUGGUGUAGCGGUGAAAUGCGCAGAUAUCAGGAAGAACACCCGUGGCGAAGGCGGUUCUCUGGGACGGUACUGACGCUGAGACGCGAAAGCGUGGGGAGCGAACAGG